rnacentral:rRNA from 1 species
UUCUUUAAGAUAUUAUUUAAAGUAAAACCUGCUCCAUGUUAUUAACUUAUAAAUAGCCGCAGUUUACUGUGCUAAGGUAGCAUAAUCAUUAGCUUUAUAAUUAAAAGAUAGAAUGAAUGGUAUAACGAAAUAUAAACUGUUUCUUCUAUUAUAAACUUAAAUUACCACAACAGUAAAAAUUCUGUUACUCCUAAGAAAGACGAUAAGACCCUAUAAACUUAAAUAUAAUUAGCUGGGGCGGCAAAACAAAAACACCUUAAUAUUGACUAAUAAACCAUAACAAACACAACUUAUUAAGAAAUAGUUACUUUAGGGAUAACAGCGCCACUUUUUUUAAAAGAUCUAAUAUAAAAAAAAUACUACGACCUCGAUGUUGAAUUAUAUUCCUUUAAUAACGCAAAAAUUAUAUAAAGGUAGUCUGUUCGACUAUAAAACAUAU